UGGGUCUGGAGGGGACAGCCACCUCCAGCCACGAUCACCUUCAGGAACUAACUUCAGCACUAUAUGAUCAGAUGUAACAACUGCUGCUUCUCCUGCGAUAACUGUUCCACAAGCUUCUCCUGGGUAGCCAGAUUUUGACUCAGUUCUUCGAUUCUUCUGGAGUAAAGAAAAAAUGGGGAUGCCUAUGCCACAGGGACACUGCGAGGACUAAGUGAGAUCAAGUAGCCUUGGACACUCUUCUCUGAGGGGCU